AUGCUACUAAUAGUAAGAGAUGAGAAAGUCCUUUUUUACAAGGCAGUGAAUCACUGUGAUGUUGGCGCAAAACACACAAGAUCACUGGUGUUUGGAUCUGGCACUAAACUCAUAGUGGAACCAGGUGUGAACCACCCUUCUCCACCAUCUGUCUUUGUGUUGAAGCCUGUGACUGCAGGAUCCACCACUGCCUGCCUAGUGAAAGAUUUCUACCCUGAUGGUGUGGAGAUCUACAUGAAUUCUACCAAGCAAAGUUCUGGUCCAGUAAGAGGGAAUUCGAUCCUAUCUCCCAAAGGGAAGUAUAGUGCAGUCCACUUGCACAGGCUUGGGACAGAUAAUGUACACUGUCAGGUCAAGCACCAGGACACAUGGGUGACAGACAAGGACACUAUCUACAACCCCAAAGAUUCUGAUAUUGGGACUGAAGAAGAGACAGAACUAAAAAGGAAACAAUGUGAUCAAAAAAGUAUUGCACCUCCAGUACUCCAUGAGAGAGCUAACAUGCUUUCCAUCUCUGUUCUGGGAAUGAGACUGCUUUUUGCCAAAACUCUGGCUUUCAACCUGCUCCUUAGUGCAAAGUUCUUCGUUCUGUAA